UACGAAGGGUGCAACCGUUGCUCGGAAUCAUUGGGCGUAAAGCGCACGUAGGCGGCCUCACAAGUCGGAUGUGAAAUCCCGUGGCUCAACCAUGGACGUGCAUUCGAAACUGCGAGGCUUGAGUAUGGAAGAGGGUCGCGGAAUUCCCGGUGUAGAGGUGAAAUUCGUAGAUAUCGGGAGGAACACCAGUGGCGAAGGCGGCGACCUGGGCCAAUACUGACGCUGAGGUGCGAAAGCGUGGGGAGCGAACAGG
rnacentral:rRNA from 1 species